AAAGGAAUUGACGGGGGCCCGCACAAGCGGUGGAGUAUGUGGUUUAAUUCGACGCAACGCGAAGAACCUUACCAGGCCUUGACAUGGCUUUAAAGGCCCUAGAGAUAGGGAGAUAGUUAUAGAGCACACAGGUGGUGCAUGGUUGUCGUCAGCUCGUGUCGUGAGAUGUUGGGUUAAGUCCCGCAACGAGCGCAACCCUUGUCGUUAGUUACCAUCAUUCAGUUGGGGACUCUAGCGAGACUGCCGGUGACAAACCGGAGGAAGGUGGGGAUGACGUCAAAUCAUCAUGCCCCUUAUGGCCUGGGCUACACACGUACUACAAUGGCGAGAACAACGGGAAGCGACCACGUGAGUGGAAGCGGAUCUCACAAAACUCGUCUCAGUUCGGAUCGAAGUCUGCAACUCGACUUCGUGAAGUUGGAAUCGCUAGUAAUCGCGGAUCAGCAUGCCGCGGUGAAUACGUUCUCGGGCCUUGUACACACCGCCCGU
rnacentral:rRNA from 1 species